CCUAUCUGCACACAGCAUCUUUUCUUCCUCUCCUCUUACCAAAUUCCCAAAUUUGUUUGCCUCAGCCGCUGGACUUCUCCACCCUGGUGCCGCUGCUCCCUAACAAUCUCACUGGUGCCGCCGUUCUCGCCCAUCUCUGACCUUCUCCUCCGGUGCCCCUUCGUCCCGCACCCUUUCUUCCCCGGCUGGAGGGUGCACAUCGGGGAUGAGGAGCACGCAGGGAACUCGAGGUCGCGCCGGAGCCCGGAUGCGUGGCUGCGCAUCCUCUCGCAGGGAGCCCGGAGCCUGGAUGAGGAACACGACAUCCUCUCGCCCGUCCCCUCUUCUACCUGGGAGCUUCCCGUGGGACGAGCAGGUUUUCUCUCUUGACUCCUGGACUUGGACGCAGACCUGGCUGUGCGUGUGGCCGUGGGGGUUGGCCGGUGGCACGGUUGGCGGCGGCGGCUCGUCUAUUUACUGCCGCACGCAGGCACGCCGAGGCCGUGUGCAAUGAGGAACACGGCAUCCUCUCGCCUUGCUUCAAGUUCCAAACUGUUCGCAGCUUGUUGACUUUCAACAGUUAGGUGCACAGCUGAAAAUUCAGUAGAACAUGGUGCUCCUCGAAAUACUGGUCAUCUGGAACUUUGGCAACCUUUGGCUUUUCAAGUUUGGCAGUCCGUCUAAAAGCAACUCUAUCCAACUGAGAAGAUCACUAUACUUACCAAUGGACCUCUUACAAAUUGGGCCAACAUUGUUCUCUCUGACAAGAAUGCAAGUCCUGUAAUAGAGGUUGGUUAUUUGAUAUCUUUUGCUUUCGUGCUGUAUUUAAUGCAUUUUAAAAUAUGAUAAGUUUAAACUGUUCACUGUUAAUAUUGACUUACAUGUUGCUCUUGUGCAGAGUGUAUGAAAAUGAUUAAAACGGAAACGUGUUCACUAUUCCAUGUAAUAGAUAUGCGGAAUUUAAUACAUUUCUUGAUCCCUUAGCUGUGAUAGUAGUUCUAGAGUGCACUCUGGAUAUCACAUUGAUUCCCCUCAGCUCUCAGAGAAAAGCUGCUUCCUUUCCACCUCUCCUUGAAGCUCUAAAGCAUGCUCAACAUACUCCAGAAUCAAGUUUUUUCCUCCACUUUUUGUCAUUGCUUCAUUUCCACGUCAUCUUUCCAUCCUUCUAUUGCGUCUUGAAGAGCAAUGUUCAGGUAGAAUGAUAUUUCUGUGAUGGGUCCUGUUUUAUGCAUGUUCGUGCUAGGAAUGGGAUCAAGUAGAGUAUUAUGACAGAUUUUACAGGGAAAUAAUCAGCCUUUGGAUACACAUAUUAUCUAGGGACAUUUCACUGUGGGACUAUAUUAUAAUCAACCUUAGUAUAGGAUCCACCCUAAUAUUUUAUUAUCUGAAUUCACCUACAUGCUACACUAUUUAUACGGCACUGGCAACUAACAUGGAAUUUCCUUUGACGUUUUGUAUGUAGCACAAAUUUAGCACAUUUCGGGCAAAUGAAAUAAACCUUUGAAUAAGCACAUUUAGAGGGGAGACAACCAUUAUAGGAUCCACCCUAAUAUUUCAUUAUAUGAAUUCACCUACAUGCUACAGUAUCUAUACGACAGUGGCAACUAACAUGGAGUUUCCUUUUGAUGUUUUUAUGUACCACAAACUUAUCACAUGUAUGGCAAAUGAAAUAAAUUAGUGAAUCGGCACAUUUGAGGCAAAAGUCAACAUCAUCUACUUUGGGUCAAGGGAGAUGCAGGAGCUGCAAAAGCUUUUGCAAUUCCAUGAAAGCUGGCGAACAUGGUGUUCUUAUUUGCUGAGCUACCGCUUAUGCAGUACUACCUGGUGUUGUCCAAGCCCUCCAUGGUUGCUGCUGCUGCUGUCUACACAGCCAGGCUCACACCUAAAAACAUACCUCUGUGGACCGACAUGCUCAAGCAUCAUACUGGCUUCAGUGAAUCACACUACUACUCAUGAAGAUGAAGGAUAAGAAGAGGCGAUGUCUUCGACUGGUUGGAGAGCCAACCUGGGCGUCAAAGAAGAGGCGGCAGACCAAUGAGGCAGAUCACGGGGCUUCGGCGAGGCGGCAGACCUCAGGGCGUCGGUGUUGGCAACCAGUGUUUUCCAAGAAAGCAGGCGUCGGAGAAGAGACCGCAGACCACUGGGCGGCGAGGUGGUUGCCGGACGGCAGGCAUGGGAGAAGAGAUGGCAGCGUGAGGGUGAGAAGAGGCGGCAGCGUUAGGGGAGAGAUGAUUUCCUAUUCCACCCAGCUGAUUCAUAGGGAUACAUCUGGGCUGAUUGGUUUCCUUGUACGUCUGGGCAGAUUUUUUUCCUUGUACGUCUCGGCUGAUACGUCUCCGCUGAUUGUGAUUGAUUGCUGGAUUC